rnacentral:rRNA from 1 species
GAUGAACGCUGGCGGCGUGCCUAAUACAUGCAAGUCGAGCGAACGGACGAGAAGCUUGCUUCUCUGAUGUUAGCGGCGGACGGGUGAGUAACACGUGGAUAACCUACCUAUAAGACUGGGAUAACUUCGGGAAACCGGAGCUAAUACCGGAUAAUAUUUUGAACCGCAUGGUUCAAAAGUGAAAGACGGUCUUGCUGUCACUUAUAGAUGGAUCCGCGCUGCAUUAGCUAGUUGGUAAGGUAACGGCUUACCAAGGCAACGAUGCAUAGCCGACCUGAGAGGGUGAUCGGCCACACUGGAACUGAGACACGGUCCAGACUCCUACGGGAGGCAGCAGUAGGGAAUCUUCCGCAAUGGCCGAAAGCCUGACGGAGCAACGCCGCGUGAGUGAUGAAGGUCUUCGGAUCGUAAAACUCUGUUAUUAGGGAAGAACAUAUGUGUAAGUAACUGUGCACAUCUUGACGGUACCUAAUCAGAAAGCCACGGCUAACUACGUG